rnacentral:rRNA from 1 species
CAGCCGCCGCGGGAAUACGGAGGGUGCAAGCGUUAAUCGGAAUUACUGGGCGUAAAGCGCACGCAGGCGGUCUGUCAAGUCAGAUGUGAAAUCCCCGGGCUUAACCUGGGAACUGCAUUUGAAACUGGCAGGCUAGAGUCUUGUAGAGGGGGGUAGAAUUCCAGGUGUAGCGGUGAAAUGCGUAGAGAUCUGGAGGAAUACCGAUGGCGAAGGCAGCCAUCUGGCCUAAUACUGACGCUGAGGUACGAAAGCAUGGGGAGCAAACAGGAUUAGAUACCCCUGUAGUCCCUGUCUCUUAUAC